GACGAACGCUGGCGGCGUGCUUAACACAUGCAAGUCGAACGGUGAACUCGAGAGCUUGCUCUUGAGGGAUCAGUGGCGAACGGGUGAGUAACACGUGAGUAACCUGCCCCAGACUCUGGAAUAACACCUGGAAACAGGUGCUAAUACCGGAUACGACACGAACAGGCAUCUGUAUCGUGUGGAAAGUUUUUCGGUCUGGGAUGGACACGCGGCCUAUCAGCUAGUUGGUGAGGUAAAGGCUCACCAAGGCGACGACGGGUAGCCGGCCUGAGGGGGCGACCGGCCACACUGGGACUGAGACACGGCCCAGACUCCUACGGGAGGCAGCAGUGGGGAAUAUUGCACAAUGGGCGAAAGCCUGAUGCAGCGACGCCGCGUGAGGGAUGACGGCCUUCGGGUUGUAAACCUCUUUCAGUAGGGAGGAAGCGAAAGUGACGGUACCUACAGAAGAAGCACCGGCUAACUACGUGCCAGCCGCCGCCGUAAGAC
rnacentral:rRNA from 1 species